rnacentral:rRNA from 1 species
GUCCAGCCAUGCCCUGUGACUAUAUGUUUAACGGCCGCGGUAUUUUGACCGUGCAAAGGUAGCGCAAUCACUUGUCUUUUAAAUGAAGACCCGUAUGAAUGGCACCACGAGGGCUUGACUGUCUCCUUUUUCAAGUCAAUGAAAUUGAUCUCCCCGUGCAGAAGCGGGGAUAUGCACAUAAGACGAGAAGACCCUAUGGAGCUUAAGACAUAAGAUAGCCCGCGUUAAGCCCCCUAAUUAAUGGAAGAAACUAAGCAACCCCUAUCCUGCUGUCUUUGGUUGGGGCGACCGCGGGGAACCAUAAAACCCCCAUGUGGACUAAGUACAUCCUCUCACAGCUAAGAGCUCCCGCUCUAGAAAACAGAAAAUCUGACCAAUAAUGAUCCGGCAAUGCCGAUCAACGGACCGAGUUACCCUAGGGAUAACAGCGCAAUCCCCUUUUAGAGUCCAUAUCGACNAGGGGGUUUACGANCCUCGAUGUUGGAUCAGGACAUCCUAAUGGUGCAGCCGCUAUUAAGGGGUUCGUUUGUUCAACG